CUCAGUGAGUGAGGUCUGCAGUCUGUGGAGGGCUCAGUGAGUGAGGUCUGCAGUCUGUGGAGGGCUCAGUGAGGGAGGUCUGCAGUCUGUGGAGGGCUCAGUGAGUGAGGUCUGCAGUGUGUGGAGGGCUCAGUGAGUGAGGUCUGCAGUCUGGAGGGCUCAGUGAGUGAGGUCUGCAGUGUGUGGAGGGCUCAGUGAGUGAGGUCUGCAGUCUGUGGAGAGCUCAGUGAGUGAGGUCUGCAGUCUGUGGAGGGCUCAGUGAGUGAAGUCGGCCCUGUGUGGAGGGCUCAGUGAGUGAGGUCUGCAGUGUGUGGAGGGCUCAGUGAGUGAGGUCUGCAGUCUGGAGGGCUCAGUGAGUGAGGUCUACAGUCUGUGGAGGGCUCAGUGAGUGAGGUCUGCAGUCUGUGGAGGGCUCAGUGAGUGAAGUCAGCCCUGUGUGGAGGGCUCAGUGAGUGGGGUCUACAGUCUGUGGAGGGCUCAGUGAGUGAGGUCUGCAGUCUGUGGAGGGCUCAGUGAGUGAGGUCUGCAGUCUGGAGGGCUCAGUGAGUGUGGUCGGCAGUGUGUGGAGGGCUCAGUGAGUGAGGUCUGCAGUCUGUGGAGGGCUCAGUGAGUGAGGUCUGCAGUCUGUGGAGGGCUCAGUGAGUGAAGUCGCCCUGUGUGGAGGGCUCAGUGAGUGAGGUCUGCAGUGUGUGGAGGGCUCAGUGAGUGAGGUCUGCAGUGUGUGGAGGGCUCAGUGAGUGAGGUCUGCAGUGUGUGGAGGGCUCAGUGAGUGAGGUCUGCAGUCUGGAGGGCUCAGUGAGUGAGGUCUGCAGUGUGUGGAGGGCUCAGUGAGUGAGGUCUGCAGUGUGUGGAGGGCUCAGUGAAUGAAGUCAGCCCUGUGUGGAGGGCUCAGUGAGUGAGGUCUGCAGUCUGUGGAGGGCUCAGUGAGGGAGGUCUGCAGGUGGAGGGCUCAGUGAGUGAGGUCUGCAGUCUUUGGAGGGCUCAGUGAGUGAAGUCGGCCCUGUGUGGAGGACUCAAUGAGUGAGGUCUGCAGUGUGUGGAGGGCUCAGUGAGUGAGGUCUGCAGUCUGUGGAGGGCUCAGUGAGUGAGGUUUGCAGUCUGGAGGGCUCAGUGAGUGAGGUCUGCCGUGUGUGGAGGGCUCAGUGAGUGAGGUCUACAGUCUGUAGAGGGCUCGAUAAGUGAGGUCUGCAGUCUGUGGAGGGCUCAGGGAGUGAGGUCUGCAGUCUGGAGGGCUCAGUGAGUGAGGUCUGCAGUCUGGAGGGCUCAGUGAGUGAGGUCUGCAGUCUGGAGGGCUCAGUGAGUGAGGUCUGCAGCCUGGACGGCUCAGUGAGUGAGGUCUGCAGUGUGUGGAGGGCUCAGUGAGUGAGGUCUGCAGUGUGUGGCGGGCUCAG